AGUGAACGCUGGCGGUAGGCCUAACACAUGCAAGUCGAACGGCAGCACAGUAAGAGCUUGCUCUUACGGGUGGCGAGUGGCGGACGGGUGAGGAAUACAUCGGAAUCUACUUUUUCGUGGGGGAUAACGUAGGGAAACUUACGCUAAUACCGCAUACGACCUACGGGUGAAAGCAGGGGAUCUUCGGACCUUGCGCGAUUGAAUGAGCCGAUGUCGGAUUAGCUAGUUGGCGGGGUAAAGGCCCACCAAGGCGACGAUCCGUAGCUGGUCUGAGAGGAUGAUCAGCCACACUGGAACUGGGACACGGUCCAGACUCCUACGGGAGGAAGCAGUGGAGAAUAUUGGACAAUGGGCGCAAGCCUGAUCCAGACAUACCGCGUGGGUGAAGAAGGCCUUCGGGUUGUAAAGCCCUUUUGUUGGGAAAGAAAAGCAGCAGGUUAAUACCCCGCUGUUCUGACGGUACCCAAAGAAUAAGCACCGGCUAACUUCGUG
rnacentral:rRNA from 1 species